CAGAGGGGGAGGGGAGUCACAUAGCACCUGAUCCCAGGAAGCAGAGUGAACCUGAACCGGAAGUGCGGCUGCUCAGACCCACUCUUCCUGGAACAUCCCUUUGUCAGACACGGGGUCUAUGGGAGGACAUCUUACAUUAAAGAUCUGGCUGGCCUUCCCAGUGCUAGGAUUAAAGGAGCGCACACCAUCACACUCAGCCUGAGACGCUUCUGAAGGCACCUGGAGCAGAGACAGCUGCCUAAGCCUUCUGUGUCCCCGCCCCCUUGCCCCCAUUUCUCCACCUUAACGCUUUUGCUUUGUUUCUCUUCUGUGCCACCACGAUGACUUCAAGCCUGGCGGUCCUCUCCUUGCGGGGACUGGAGAAUGCCACCGAGAGGAAGAGAGCCAUGGAGGAUGUGGGGUAAGCCCUGGUCUGAGGUGACCAUGGAAGAACAGAGCCUGGAACUCCCGGGAGCUGACCUUUCCCACCGUGCUGCAGGCUCUGCUGGAGAACACCGUGGGAACAGGCUGCUGGCUGCGCUGCUGCAGUUUGGACCAGAAUUUCCCAGAUUCUCAGAAGAUGGCUACUGGAAUAUUGAAAAUGUUCUCUCACACACACACUCUCCACUGGCAGAGAUUUGUAGUGAACAGGCCUAUCCUGUUCAUGGAUCGGGUAAAACUAGGAACCUGCUUUCCAGGUCGGAUGUCCCUCACCAGACUGACAGACGUGGACUAGUGGCUUCUUUUUCACCUCUUUCUAAUUGGAUCACCCGGGGAACUGUGCACGCGCAGAUGUAGCAUACUGUCCAUGAAAACCUGGGUAGCUAGGAGAGGGUGUAUUAUCUAUGCAUCUUGUUUGCAAACACUGGGGCUCACUUCCUAGCA
rnacentral:lncRNA from 1 species